rnacentral:rRNA from 1 species
UACAGAGGCCUCGAGCGUUAGGCGGAAUCACUGGGCUUAAAGCGUGUGUAGGCGGACUUCUAAGUACCUUGUGAAAUCCCACGGCUCACCCGUGGAACUGCUGGGUAUACUGGUCGUCUUGAGCCUUCUAGGGGCUGCCGGAACAAAUGGUGGAGCGGUGAAAUGCGUAGAUAUCAGGAAGAACACCCGUGGCUAAGGCGGUUCUCUAGUACGGUACUGACGCUGAGACGCGAAAGCGUGGGGAGCGAACAGG